rnacentral:lncRNA from 1 species
GUUUCCUUCUUGAUCCUUCACAAGGGAAGAUUUUCUUUUUUAGAGGUACAGAUUCCUCUUAGUCAAGUCCUGAUUAAAACUCCAGCUAAGACAUUAGUAAGCCUUGGUUAGUGAAGUGGCAUCAGGAAGUGCCUACAUUUUCAUGGCCUGGUAGCGUUCAGUGAAAAUGUUCAUUAACAGACACAGGCCAUUCAGUCCCGAAUCCCAAGACACUGAAGACUCUGUUUGAAUCAGACUCACGGGUUCCUUCCUAGCCACUCUCAGGGACAGGAAUGCUUCUGGUGAAGAAGUUUUCGGUGGUGGUUCAUGGAGCUUCCCUACACCAACUUGGAAAUGGCAUUCAUUUUAUUGGCUUUUGUUAUCUUUUCCUUAUUUACCCUGGCUUCCAUCUACACUACUCCGGAUGACAGUAAUGAAGAGGAAGAACAUGAAAAAAAGGGAAGGGAAAAGAAAAGGAAAAAGUCUGAAAAGAAGAAAAAUUGCUCAGAGGAAGAGCACAGAAUUGAAGCUGUUGAGCUAUGAUCUCAUAGCCACCGAUAUUUCUCGCUAAGAAGACAGAGGAAGCAAUCCAUGGGAACUACUUAUCCACAGUUACACAAGAGGAGGGGAUAAUGAAGAAAGUUAAAAUCACUUACUGAUUAAACACGAUGAUAAUAACCAUUAAUGAACUCAAUACUCGGGAAAGGCUUCACAUUUCUGGGACUCAGCAUUAUCCAAAAUAUCUAUUAAGAGCCAUACACCAUUCUAGCUGCAAUUGAUUAUACAAAAAAAAAAAGACCAAAGUGGUUACAAUAAUAAAAUAGAACACAGAGAAAGAAGAAAACUACAUGUGUUACAAUUUGGUAAGAUAAACAAACAAACAAAAAAUUUAAUCACUUUUUUUGGUCCUGCGACACACAUGAUAAUUUUUGUCUUAAUUCUCCUAACAAAUGAUAAUGAAAAGCUAUAAGUAACUGUGUUAUUGCUUCCGUAUCUGAAAUAGGUGAAAGAGGGAAAAAACACUAUAUAUUUUUUCAGCUUUACAGAAGAAAUUUUGAAAGGUUUACAUUCAAUGGAAAUAUUAGCAUUGCCUCAGUAAGCUUUAAAACACAAAUGUCUACGUUUUCUGAAGCAAUAUGGUUUACAGAGACAUGAGUGUUUGUAAAUCUCUCGUCCCAAUACUAUGUAAAUCCUUAAUGUGUAAGCAUCCAGGAAAAUUUGUCAUUCUGUGUCCUUUAUUCAUCCUAAAAGUUGAAAGUUUUCUGUUAUUUAUAUUUUUUUUUUUUUAAUUUGAGAGAGAGGCUGGGUGCAGUGGCUCACGCCUGUAAUCCCAGCACUUUGGGAGGCCGAGGUGGGCAGAUCACGAGGUCAGGAGAUUGAGACCAUCCUAGCUAACACAGUGAAACCCCGUCUCUACUAAAAAUACAAAAAAUUAGCCGAGCGUGGUGGCGGGCGCCUAUAGUCCCAUCUUCUCGGGAAGCUGAGGCAGGAGAAUGGUGUGAACCCGGGAGGCGGAGGUUGCAAUGAGCUGAGAUCAUGCCACUGCACUCCAGCCUGGGCGACAGAGCAAGACUCUGUCUCAAAAGAAAAAAAACAAAGAGAGAGAGAGGGUCUCGCUUUGUCACCGAGGCUGGAGUGCAGUGGUGUAAUCAUAGCUCACUGCAACCUUAAGUUCCUGGGCUCAGGUGAUCCUCUUGCUUCAGCCUCCCAAGUAACUGUGACUACAAGCAUGUGUCAUCACAGCCAGCUAAUUUUUGUAAUUGUUUGUAGAACCAAGGCCUCUCUAUGUUGCCUAGGCUGGUCUCCAAAUCCUGGACUCAAGCGAUCCUCUGCCUUAGCCUCCCAAAGCACUGGGAUUACACGCAUGAGCCACCAUGCCUGGCCUGUUAUUUAUAACUCUUACAAACAUUAAACCAUCACAAUCAAUGCUGGCAGCAUUAUCGUGGCAGGAAGGAAUCCACAAUACAACCAAAGAUACCUACCUGCAUCUCAUAAGAAUCAUAGCUCAGGUCUCCAUUGCCACAGAGUUUCAGUCAUGUGAGAGACUCCCUUUAUCUGUACUUACCCCUUACUGCUCACUUUCAAGAAAGAUUCAAUAAAGAUGGCUUUCUGCCAUACAGAGAUAGGCAUACUAGUGUAAACAGAAUGCUUACAAAGUUAACCAAGUAGUCACCCAGGUCAGAGUACUAAACAUUUAAAAGGGCUCACUAAGUUAGAGAGGACAGAGAAUGGGCUUUGGAGAUGAGCAGAUCUGGGUUUGAGUCUGCUCCAACCUUUCCUUAUUAUAUGACCUUGGGCAAAGUACUUAAUUUCUCUGAGCCUUGGUGUUCUCUCUGAAAAAAUGAGCAUUUUAAAAAAUCUUUGCUGGGCUGACAAAUGGAUGAGAGAUAGUAUAAGUAAAAUGUGUAACUCAGUGCCUAGGAUCGUUGCUGAAUAACGCUACCUAUUAUUAUUGGAAAGCAUUUUGGGACAUUUGGACUUUUAAGUUUACUGAUACGUUUUUUCAGAAAAGCAGAAAAAUCAACAACAUGGUUUCAAAUACUUGGAUGAGGCUCCAUUCACUCCCUUAGCCCAUCUUACAUAUAUUACUGCAUUGACUGGAAAUGGGAGGCACUUCACAAUUAGGAAUAUUGUCAGGUCAGCCAGGCGCCGUGGGCAUGCUUAUAGUCCAAGCUACUCACAAGGCUGAGGCAGGAGGAUCGCUUGAGCCUGGGAGUUUGAGGCUGCAGUGAGCUCCAGCCUGGGUGAAAGAGAAGACCCUAUCUCAAAAAAUAAAAAAUUUUAAAAACCUGUCAAGUUAGAUGUUAAAGAGGACAUGUAAAAUAAAAUCUCCCUAACAUGUUUAUGAAAUAGCUGCAAAAGGCUGAGCGUGGUGGCUCACGUCUGAAAUCCCAGCACUUUGUGAAGCCGAGGUGGGUGGAUCACCUGAGGUCAAGAGUUAGAGACCAGCCUGGCCAAGAUGGUGAAACCUCCUCUCUACUAAAAAUACAAAAAUUAGCCAGGCGUGGUGGUCCAUGCCUGUAAUCCUAGCUACUCAGGAGGCUGAGGCAGGAGAAUCACUUGAACCUGGGAGGCGGAGGUUGUAGUGAGCCAAGAUUGCGCCAUUGCUCUCCAGCCUGGGGAGCAAAUGCAAAACUCCAUUUCAAAAAAAAGAAAAGAAAAGAAAUAACUGCCAAAACCCCAGGCUAUUAUUUUGUUACCCAAAGCAUAACCAAUCUACCAAAGCCAUCCAAAAUGCUUCAGAAGGCCGGGCGCAGUGACUCACGCCUAUAAUCCCAGCACUUAGGGAGGCCGAGUCAGGUGGGUCACUUGAGGCCAGAAAUUCAAGACUAGCCUGGCCAACAUGGUGAAACUCUGUCUCUAAAAAUACAAAAAUUAGCUGGGCGUAGUAGCCCGUGCCUGUAGUCCCAGCUACUUGGAUGACUGAGGCACAAGAAUUGCUUGAAGCCAGGAGGCAGAGCUUGCAGUGAGCAGACAUUGUGCCACUGUACUCCAGCCUGGGCAACACAGCGAGACUCUGUCUAAAAAAAAAAAAAAGUGCUUCAAAAGCAACCGUAUAACAGAGACAUACUGAACAUAGGAUUUCUGCCAUUCUUGUCUGCCUAUAAGGAUAGACAAACUAUCUCAGAUAAGUAACUGAGAUAUUUAUUCAACGGUAUUCUCACUCUAAGUCCUUGUGGAAAAAGAUAUUAAAGUACAAGGAAAAGACCAUAAGUCUUGCAGGAAGUAAAAACAUGAAGAGAAAAAUGUGGAGAGACAAGUAAACUGCGUUUUUCCGCAGUCUCAGAAUUUAUCCCGCUCUGUGUAACCCAGAAGUGACUGUGAAGGCGCAACCUGUGUAUGUAGCCUGGACCCCACAUGCUCUGCUACUGAGCUUGAGUCAUUAAUCUUCUGGCCACCGAUUUUUCUCUCAAAAAUUACAUGAGCUUCCUCCAUCAAUAAAUAUCUUCAGUGCUCUAUCCAUUAAUUUCCCAUCCACUGAAUAAAGGUUACAACAACUAUUCAUGAGGUUAGGUUUGUUUAAAAAUACAGUUUACAUCAAUUAAGUGGGGUACAUUAGGGAAUUAGAAGGAGAACAGAGAAGGCAGCAGUGAGUGCUUCCAACCCAACUUCAGGGGCUGGGACAAGGUGAAAUUACAGAGAUCACAAACUGAAGAUACUAAACAGGAAUGAAAGGGGCUGGUCUCACAUGUAUCACAGCCUACCAUUUCCAGAGACACAGCUCUCAGGUUCCAAAGGGACUAGUUGACAUCAAUUGCAAGAUGGUUUUCUAGAUCCCACAGCCUUUCUCAACAACAGUUUACAAGAGAAUUAGCCAUACAAAAAAUUAUUUGAGUGACUGUUUUUUCAAUUUUCUGAAGGGUUGUGCAUAACUAGUACUAUUCUAAUUGCACAGGAGAGAAAUUAACUCAUAACAUUAAUGCCUUAGGGUAGGUGUUGACAAACUAAGAACAUAGCUGCCCACCCGUUUUUGUAAAAUUUUUUUUGUAUUUUUAUUUGUUUAUUUAUUUUAUUUUGAGUGGAGUCUCGCUCUUUUGCCCAGGAUGGAGUGCAGUGGCACAAUCUUGGCUCACUGCAACCUCUGCCUCAUGGGUUCAAGCAAUCCUCUCACCUCAGCCUCCCAAGUAGCUGGGAUUGCAAGCGUGCACCACCACACGUGGCUAGUUUUUGUAUUUUUUGUAGAGGCGAAGUUUCACCAUGUUGGCCAGGCUGGUCUUGAACACCUGACCUCAAGUAAUCCACCCACUUCGGCCUCCCAAAGUGCUGGGAUUACAGGUGUGAGCCACCGCACCCGGCCCCAUUUUUGUAAAUAUGGUUUUUUGGUAACACAGUCAUGCUCAUUCAUUUUUUGUAUUGACUAUGACUGUUUUGAAGCUAUAAUGGUAGAACUGAGUAGAUACAGAUAUGUCAUUGCUUACAAUUGCAUAUAAACUUUGGAAGAGUAAACAAGAAAUUGGUAGCAUUAUUUGUUCCUAAUGAGGAGAACUAAGGGUCUGUGAACAAUUGCGGGAAGGAGACCUUUCCAUAUACAGCCUUUGGGCAUAAGCAACCAUGCCCAACCCCAAGUCUCUUCAUAAAGGAAAAUAUUAAUAAUUUGUCUUGGUUGAAUGUAUGUUAAAUGGAACAAAAUUGAUUCCUUUAAAAAAUUAUAGCCGGCAGCAGUGACUCACGACCAUGGGCCCAGCACUUGGGAGGCCCAGACGGGUGGAUCACUUGAGUCCAGGAGACCGGCCUGGGCAGCCUGUAGAAACUCUAUGAAAAAUAAAAAAGUUAGCCGGUGAUUUGCACCUGUGGUCCCGGCUGCUAGUAGGGAGGUGGGGGGCAGUGCUGAGGUGGGAGGAUUGCUUGAGCUCAGAAGGUGGAGGUUGCAGUGAGCCAUGAUCUUGCUCCACUGCACUCCAGCCUGGGUGACCGAGUGAGACCCUUCUCAAAAAAUAAAAUAAAAUAAAAUAAAAAUUAUAAACAAGGAAAAGUCUUAGUUCAUAGAUGAAAUGAUUAGACCUUCUUCUCUGGAGUAAUAGAAAUCGGUCCUUUCUGGAUGAGAACCAGCAUCUUUGCAGCCUUAAGCCACCUGAAGCUUAGUUGGCAUGAGAACGUAGUUAGAAAACUCCUCUUUAUUACUGAGAAGCAAAUUCCAGAGGUUCAUCUGCCAGGACUAACUUGGAUCUGAGGGGUAGAUACCUUUGCUCAAAAAUGCAAAUCUUCAGAGCUCGCGGAAGUGGAAGAAUAACUACAUAGGCAAAGAAAAUGCCAUCUCUGUCUCCGCGAGCUUCCUCUAGCAGGCCGGGAUUUUUCAUGGUCAGCCUGUUUGA